rnacentral:RNase_P_RNA from 1 species
UGCUGCUUAAAUUUUUAAGGAGAGGAAAGUCCGGGCUCCACAGAGCAAGAGGGCAGCUAACGGCUGGUAAAGGAAACUUUAAGGAAAGUGCCACAGAAAAGAAACCGCCAUUAAAGGUAAGGGUGAAAAGGUGGUGUAAGAGACCACCAGCGUCGUGGCAACACGGCGGCUUGGCAAGCCCCUUCCGGAGCAAGCGCGAAUAGGAGCGCCAUGGGUCGGCCCGGCCCGCGCUCGGGUAGCGUGCGAAGAACUGCACGGUGACGUGCAGGCGAGAUAAAUGAUCGUCCACGACAGAACCCGGCUUAUCGGCCCGCUUC